UAGGGAAUCUUCGGCAAUGGGGGGAACCCUGACCGAGCAACGCCGCGUGAGUGAAGAAGGUUUUCGGAUCGUAAAGCUCUGUUGUUAAGGAAGAACGAGUGUGAGAAUGGAAAGUUCAUGCUGUGACGGUACUUAACCAGAAAGGGACGGCUAACUACGUGCCAGCAGCCGCGGUAAUACGUAGGUCCCGAGCGUUGUCCGGAUUUAUUGGGCGUAAAGCGAGCGCAGGCGGUUAGAAAAGUCUGAAGUGAAAGGCAGUGGCUCAACCAUUGUAGGCUUUGGAAACUGUUUAACUUGAGUGCAGAAGAGGAAAGUGGAAUUCCAUGUGUAGCGGUGAAAUGCGCAGAGAUAUGGAGGAACACCAGUGGUGAAGGCGACUUUCUGGUCUGUAACUGACGCUGAUGUGCGAAAGCGUGGGAAUCAAACAGG
rnacentral:rRNA from 1 species